CAGUAGAAAGCGAACAAUUGCUUCCAGUUUCGGCCUGGCCCUUGGUGUUAAAUCACCUCUACUUU
rnacentral:tRNA from 1 species